GCUGGGCAUGGUGGCACGUGCCUGUAAUCCCAGCUACUCAGGAAGCUGAGGCAGGAGAAUUGCCUGAACCCGGGAGGCAGAGGAUGUGGUGAGCCGAGAUCGCACCAUUGCACUCUAGCCUGGGUAACAAGAGUGAAACUACGUCUCAAAAAAAAAAAAAAAAAAAAAAAAGUAUAUAGACAUAAAUUCCCAUAACCCUCAGUUCUUUUUUUUUUUUUUUUUUAAUCCGAGACGGAAUUUCGCUCUUGUUACCCAGGCUGGAGUGCAAUGGCAUGAUCUCGGCUCACCGCAACCUCCGCCUCCCGGGUUCAGGCAAUUCUCCUGCCUCAG
rnacentral:SRP_RNA from 1 species